GACGACCUACGGGGGGCAGCAGUGGGGAAUAUUGCACAAUGGGGGAAACCCUGAUGCAGCAACGCCGCGUGAGUGAGGAAGUACUUCGGUAUGUAAAGCUCUAUCAGCAGGGAAUAGAAAAGAAGGUACCUGAAAAAGAAGCCCCGGCUAACUACGUGCCAGCAGCCGCGGUAAUACGUAGGGGGCAAGCGUUAUCCGGAUUUACUGGGUGUAAAGGGAGCGCAGACGGAAAGGCAAGUCAGAAGUGAAGACCCAAGGCUCAACCAUGGGACUGCUUUUGAAACUGUCAAGCUAGAGUACGGGAG
rnacentral:rRNA from 1 species